rnacentral:rRNA from 1 species
CAGUCGCCGCGGGAAUACGAAGGGUGCAAGCGUUAAUCGGAAUUACUGGGCGUAAAGCGUGCGUAGGCGGUGAGUUAAGUCUGCUGUGAAAUCCCCGGGCUCAACCUGGGAAUGGCAGUGGAUACUGGCUCGCUAGAGUGUGUCAGAGGACGGUGGAAUUCCCGGUGUAGCGGUGAAAUGCGUAAAGAUCGGGAGGAACAUCAGUGGCGAAGGCGGCCAUCUGGGACAACACUGACGCUGAGGCACGAAAGCGUGAGGAGCAAACAGGAUUAGAUACCCCCGUAGUCCCUGUCUCUUAUAA